GUGGGGAAUAUUGCACAAUGGGCGAAAGCCUGAUGUAGCGACGCCGCGUGAGGGAAGAAGGUUUUCGGAUUGUAAACCUCUGUCCCAGGGGACGAACAAAUGACGGUACCCUGGGAGGAAGCUACGGCUAACUACGUGCCAGCAGCCGCGGUAAAACGUAGGUGGCAAGCGUUGUCCGGAAUUACUGGGUGUAAAGGGAGCGCAGGUGGGCUGGCAAGUCGAAUGUGAAAUCUACGGGCUCAACUCGUAAAUUGCGUUCGAUACCGCUGGUCUUGAGUGGUGUAGAGGUAGGUGGAAUUCCCGGUGUAGCGGUGGAAUGCGUAGAUAUCGGGAGGAACACCAGUGGCGAAGGCGACCUACUGGGCACUAACUGACACUGAUGCACGAAAGCGUGGGUAUCAAACAGGAUUAGAAACCCUGGUAGC
rnacentral:rRNA from 1 species